GAUGAACGCUGGCGGCGUGCCUAAUACAUGCAAGUCGAGCGAACAGACGAGAAGCUUGCUCCUCUGAUGUUAGCGGCGGACGGGUGAGUAACACGUGGAUAACCUACCUAUAAGACUGGGAUAACUUCGGGAAACCGGAGCUAAUACCGGAUAAUAUAUUGAACCGCAUGGUUCAAUAGUGAAAGACGGUUUUGCUGUCACUUAUAGAUGGAUCCGCGCUGCAUUAGCUAGUUGGUAAGGUAACGGCUUACCAAGGCAACGAUGCGUAGCCGACCUGAGAGGGUGAUCGGCCACACUGGAACUGAGACACGGUCCAGACUCCUACGGGAGGCAGCAGUAGGGAAUCUUCCGCAAUGGGCGAAAGCCUGACGGAGCAACGCCGCGUGAGUGAUGAAGGUCUUCGGAUCGUAAAACUCUGUUAUUAGGGAAGAACAAAUGUGUAAGUAACUGUGCACGUCUUGACGGUACCUAAUCAGAAAGCCACGGCUAACUACGUG
rnacentral:rRNA from 1 species